ACCGGGGCUCCGCUUCCCCUUCUUUUGUUAUUAUCCCCUUGCACUCCAAAGCAUUAACCUUUUCAUCCAGUCACGUUCUAAGCCCUUGAAAAUUGUUUCCAUGCCCACCCAUGCCUGAACAUCCCCCCGGCUUCUCAAAUCUGCCUACCCGCCUAGCCUAAUUGGCAGUAAUUAGGGGUGUUUGUGCGGAGCGCAAGCUGAGCUUGGCUCAGACACCCCUAAUUGCUGCCAGUCAGGCUGGGGCUGGAACGCAUCCGAACAACCCCGAGCUUGGCUCAGCUCCAAGCAGGGCUGGGAAAUGGUUUUCAGCAGAGAGCCAUCCCUCUCUGCACCCGGUCAUUUUAACCAAUUAUGGAAACCGUCUCUGGAUGGGGAGAAUCAAUAUCCCACAAAGCCUCAGCCGCCGACCACCAAGAGACGGUGAGAGUGAUGGCAGGGCUGCUGAUGGCGUUUCACAAAACAUCCCCCAAGUUUUUUGUUGGGUUGGGUGGGGGUAAAGCACCCAGACCGAUCCUCUCCCACUGAUCCUGUAUGGAUUGAUUGUGCAUAUACAGUGGGGUUGAGAUGAAAUCAUUGUAUAUUAUAUUUGUGUCAUUAUGGCCAAUUAUAGAUCAUUCUAGGGUAUGAUGCAUAUCACGAAGGAUGCAGGAGGCAGAACAAAUCAGCGUCACUUAGAGAAGGGAAAAACAUAUUAAGCACUGUCUUAAUUGACAAGUAGCAAGAGGCUUCGUCAGGACACAAUCAGAGGACAGUGUUGUUGUUUUUUUAUCUACUGGAUCAUAUUUGGUUGUCAAGGGCGAAGGCAGAAUAUGAAUGUUAAGUUGCAAAUAUGGCUCUAUUUAGCCAGAGAGUUUGAACUUGCUCACCUACUCAACAUGAGCCUGUAUGUAUGAGUCACUUACAUACGCAACCUGAGGCCCAGAUGAUUUGCUCAUUAAUUAAGUGAUUACACAGAGAGGAAAAAGAGGUUAAUUGUAGAAUAUUACCUAAUCUGCUUAUGGAAAAACACCACGCAUGGGUUUUACAUUCACAAUGAAUUCCUGCUAUGAAUUCUUGUUUGAAUCUGUGAUAGCUCUUUUUUUAAAGUUUGUUUUUUAAGAUAAAACUGUGUUUCUAUUCAGGUGCAUUUUUUCUUACGAAUUAUAAUUCAAAUUUCCUUUUGGUGCAGCCAUAAAAACAACAGCGUCACAAGUUUGAAUAAUUCAUCAGGUAUCUUGUACUGUACCUUUAAUUGAGGGGUUGGAACAUGCAGGUAUAGAAGAUACGUGUGACUCGUCAUUCAGAGGGGGACACUGGGGGGGGGGGAUUAUGAAAAAACCUCAGUUUGAAUACAGGGGUCACCGACUGGUUAUUGGUUGUGAGUUGGAUGCUCCAGAAGUUGGAAGCAUUUUUAAAUGCUGCAUAUAUCGUGUGCUACCAGGUGUCCCAAACAGGUGUCCAGGAAGCUGGCCUCACAUUCUUAAUGCGCAGGUAGACUCACUUUUGGAAAACAUCCAUUUGCGAAGAUGGGUAGAAUUACCACGGGUGUGAAAAAAACCCAAACAAAUCCACACUUGCUUUUAAAAAGCUCCUCCACGGAGUUCAGUGAUUCACGCUGCGGACCUCUCUCGCAAGUAAUUGUUAUUUUCGACUCGGCCUCUGUAAUUACAGGUGCACCUUCUGCUGCGGAAAUGGGGUUUGGGUUGAAAGGCCUCUCGGAGGUGUUAAGUUGUGCACUUGCCUAGUCAUAGCUUAUGUUAACGAGGGGCGCCAUGUUUUUUUCCCCACCUUGUUGCUAAUGGUCACGGUUCACCGGGGUGUGUGUGAGGAAUCCGGUGCUCAAGGGAGUUUUAGAGGAAGAAUUUAACAGCCUGCGGGUGCAAAUUCACAUGUGAGCAGUGACACAUAUGCACAACCUUUCUCAUACACACACAAAUGUACCGUUCUCACGAACAGACAGACAAACAAACAAAUGCACGCGCCACACACGCGCCGAGCGUACCUCGUGCCUUGGAAGAGACGAUAAGCCACUGGCAGCCAGCUAGAUUUGUCUGUCAGUGUUUUCCACAUGGGAAUCACCCUGAACUAAUUAUAUCUUAAGCAGCGGUGGAAAAUGCAAAUCAGAAUUUUACUCACACCCCUGAAAUUGGAGAGCCAAUUUAAUCUAAUACCCCCUUUAAUUUAGCGCGCUAAUGCAAGGCCCUAGAGAAUUGCCCUGUGUCACCGCUGCUGUUCUGCAGCAGAUCCUGCUCCCUCUCUCUCUCUCUCUCUCUCUCUCCCUCCCCCUCUUUCUCUCUUUCUCUCUGUCUCCCUGUCUCCCUCUCUCUCCGUCUCUGUGCUGCUCUCCGGCUCCAGGAUGGAUUAGUCUGGCGGAGGAAUCUCAUCUAACCUAACAUUUCCUGAGCAGAAGGCUCGUAAAGAGGACUUUAGAGCGCCGUGGAAUUUUGGUUAAUGUAAAGUUAAUAUUUGCCAGCACGUGUUCCUCAACAAAUUACAACACCAAUAUUGAGGUUUUGUGAGUGGAUCCAAGUAACCGUACCAUUUUCUAAAGCACUUUUUCCCAAAUCUCUAUGGCUCCUUACCCUUCACGAUUUGUUUUAUUAAUCAUAAUAAUUAACAAUUAAAAUCAGAAACAUUUACUUUCUUAUUGUACUUACUUUAACAGAAAAACUGCUUGGUGGUGUUGGUGCUGUGCCUUUCAAUUAUUAUUCAUUGAAAGCAAAAUAUUGGGUCUUUGUGUAUAAUCCAAGUUGGUCAGAUUUUUCGAAUUGCACAGGUUCUAUUCCCAAUUACGUUAACUAAGUCUUAGUCAAUCUAUUGAUGCUUUUUGUUUUUCUUUGCACUUGUAAAAGAGUUUGAAAAACGAGAGUUGCUGAAAUGGCGCUGAAGUAUCGCUCUAGUGUUAAUGCUAACGGUUUGAACUAGAACUACAUGAAGACCAAUGAGACGGAAACAGAAUUAUAACUAAUUCAAUCCAGGUGACCAGAGCAUUCGUUUACUAUGACAAAAGUUCGACCACCUCUUGAGCUACUCUUUCUGUGAAGAGACUCAUCCAGACUCUGAGGACAUACAAUACAACAAAAACAUGUGGUUCCUUAAAAAUGAAAGAAUUCCAAAGUGCCAUAUUGACAAUAUUGUCAGGAACCAUUUUCACCUAAAUAGCACUUCUGUUUUUUUCAUCCAUAAUAAUGUGAAGACAGAGUAAAAUAGAGUAGAGAGCAGCUCCUAAUUGAUUAGUAUGAAACACACUAUGGGAAAAAGGAGGAAGAGGGUAGAACAAGAUUCAACUGAACAGAUUCCUUCUUUCAAUUACAAAUGUCAAAGGCCGGCAUCAAGUCGUGUGCAGGAAAACCUAGAAUGAGGGGAUGUUCUCUCUCUCGCUCUCUCUCUCUCGCUCGCUCUCCUCCUCUGUUCUCUGUGCCGUGUUGAUAUGAGUACAUGAAAUGGGUGAGAUGAAAAGGUGGCAGCGGCUGCCUGGAAACCUUUGCUAUUGUGAUAAAAGACAAGGCCCGAAAUGGCAGGAAGCAGGACCUUGAGGAAAAUGGCUUGGAUUCAGUCUCUUAAUGAGAGUGCGGGAGCCAAAUAAGCAACAGCAGCCAGGUCUAAUUUGUUUUAGGUGUGCUGAGAAUAGAUAAGGACAAAUCUGUGGCCUUCACCCCCAUUCCCCCCAACCUUUGGCUCCCUGGAGAUAACACUGAGUGCUCCCAGCCAAUCUCCGUGGGCAACGGAGAGGGGGUAAAGAAAUAAAAAAUGAAGCAGAGAAGGAAAAGCCUGAGGGACAGACGGCCUUUAGAUCUGCCGAUCUCUAACUUACUGGAUUUAUUCAAGCUUUAAAACUGAAGAUUAAUUUGGUCGCAGAGGUCUGGGGGAGUGUGAAAAAAGAAAAGAAAAACGAGGCUGCACGCCGCUGCGCAUCUCAACCUAAAGGGCAACCUUAAGCUCCUGUCAAGACAAUAGGAUUUUGCCAUCUGAACCGCGAUGCAGACCGCUUAAUUAUACACAUCUUCCCUGCAGGCCGCCGUCAGCUACUUAGGUGCACAGGCCCCCUCAUUCGUAGUCAUGCCCUUUUUCCCCUAGAUUGGUUGUGCCGUGUGGAUCUUCUGUCAACUUCCAUUUGCGCGGGGUAGCUGUCCUCCUUAGGCCUUUGCGGUGUUCGGAAAAAAACCGCGGCCGCGCGGCGCUGUUAAAGAAUUCAUCGUUUUUGCCACUGCCACCAAUUAAGGCCAAAGCGUAAUCGGAGGCGUCCAGACGAUGCCCUUACAUUAUGCGGUCUGUCGCCUCCUCUGCCCCCGUUUGAUUUAACAUCCCUGGUUCAGUGGUGAAAAAGAACUCAUUGUCAUUGUCUUUAUUAUAGUACGAAGGGAGAGAUGGAGAGGAAGAAUGGGAGAGAGAGAGAGAGAGAGAGGGAGAGAGAGAG